CAGCUUCCACACCUCCACGAGAUAUUUCUCUCUUUCUCGGCCCACGGCGAAGCUCGUCAUCUCCUUGCUAGCCGGUACCAGCCAUUCCCGCGAGCUCCCACCUCUGGACAUGGACGCCGUCCGCUCCCUCCUCCUAGGCGGCGGCCUCACUGUCUCCACCGCCACCGGCGCCACGGCCCAGGCCACCUCUAUCCCACACAUCUCCCCUUGUUCUCUUCCUUGGGCCACUCGCCGCCGCUUCCACCGCCUCGCCGCGGCCGCGUCACCUCACUCGCCGCUCCCCGCCUCUUCUACCCGCCCGCGUUGCUCCAGGUGGGUGGUGGUCAUGGACGACCCGCCUGAGCCGGAGGGCGGGGGCGAGGUGUCCCGCGCGGAGGCCGUCGACUACUACGUUGCCACACUGGCCAGAGUGUUGGGAAGUGAGCAGGAGGCGCAGAUGUGCAUAUAUGACGCGUCGUGGGACAGGAACUACGAAUUCUGCUGCGAGAUCGAUGAGGAAGCGUCGAAGAAGCUUGCAAAGAUGCCUGGGGUAUUAGCUGUUAGGAUGGUUAAGGGUGAUGUGCCAGAGAAGGAUAAUCUCAGCUCGAGCCUCUCACCAGUUAACCUUGGAAGCUUCAGUGAUGCUGCUUGUAACAACUCUUCUAGCGAGAAAAGUGAGUUUUGGCUUGUCCGAAUGGAGAAGCCCGGGGUUGAAGUUGUGACAAAAGCACAAAUGGUAGACCACUAUACCCAGAUCCUAGUGAAAGUAUUGGGGAAUGAAAAGGAUGCACAAGUCAGCAUAUAUCACGUUUCAUGGGAAGAGAAUUAUGGAUUCUGCUGUCAUAUUGACGAACAAUGUGCAAAGGAGCUAGCUGAUGUUCCUGGAGUCAUAUCUGUUUUACCAGAUUCAAACUUUGGAUCAGACAAAAAAGAUUACAGAGGUGAUGAUAGCUUGAAAUCCUCAGAAGCUACUCAGGUGGCUGAUGUCAAAACUAAAAGGCUCUUUGUUACAGAUGGACGAUGCCCUCUGCCUUGUUCUGAAGUACUAGUCUUUGUGUCUUUUCUUUCAAAGGGAAGUUCAAUCAAUCAGUAAAUUAUAUGUCCAAUUUUCUGUACUGUAGAAAUAUAAGUAGUGUAGAUCAGACAAUUCAACCCUAUUUGAGAUCUAGUGUUGAUAUUUAAACGUGCUAAGCGCCACUUUUCAUUCAAUAUAAAGAAAAGCUAGAUUGGAACAAGUGAGUCUUGGACAUGCGCUGAGAUCACAAACUUCUGUUGCUCCUGUUUGUAACACAAAUAACAGUUAAACAUAAUAAGUAUAUACAGUGGUAGAAAAUCAGUUAUAUUUUGAUUUUGGUGUCACUAAUUUGGUCUAGUAUGACAGGGCUUUCAUUUUAUACAUCUGAGAAAACUCUGAGGGAAGCCUUUGAGCCAUUUGGCGAGCUGGUUGAAGUCAAGAUAAUAAUGGACAGGAUAUCAAAAAGAUCAAAAGGGUAUGCCUUCAUAGAAUACACCACAGAAGAAGCUGGUGGU